GCCGCGGCAGCUCAGCCUGGUUAGAGCGCCGGCCUGUGGAGCCGGUGGCCCCGGGUUCAAAUCCCGGCCGCGGCC
rnacentral:tRNA from 1 species